rnacentral:rRNA from 1 species
UGACAUACCUAUCUGUGGGGAAUAACUGCCCGAAAGGGUGGCUAAUACCGCAUACGCUCGUCGAGUCAAUUGAUGAGGAAAGCCUUGUAAGGGGCGCAGAUGGAGUGGCCCGCGUCCGAUUAGCUAGUUGGUGGGGUAACGGCCUACCAAGGCGACGAUCGGUAGCUGGUCUCAGAGGAUGAUCAGCCAGACUGGGACUGAGACACGGCCCAG